ACUCCUACGGGAGGCAGCAGUGGGGAAUAUUGGACAAUGGGGGAAACCCUGAUCCAGCAAUGCCGCGUGUGUGAAGAAGGCCUUCGGUUGUAAAGCACUUUCAAUAGGGAGGAAAAGACUGUGCGUUAAUAGCGUACAGCCGUGACGUUACCUAUAGAAGAAGCACCGGCUAACUCCGUGCCAGCAGCCGCGGUAAUACGGAGGGUGCAAGCGUUAAUCGGAAUUACUGGGCGUAAAGCGCGCGUAGGCGGUUUGCUAAGUCAGAUGUGAAAUCCCCGGGCUCAACCUGGGAAUGGCAUUUGAGACUGGUAGGCUAGAAUGUGGUAGAGGUGAGUGGAAUUCCAGGUGUAGCGGUGAAAUGCGUAGAGAUCUGAAGGAAUACCGGUGGCGAAGGCGGCCCCCUGGACAGAUACUGACACUCAGAUGCGAAAAGCGUGGGGAGCAAAACAGGAUUAGAUACCCUGGUAGGAUAGCG
rnacentral:rRNA from 1 species